rnacentral:lncRNA from 1 species
GUCGCUUCAAACCCUUGUCUUUAUAUACCCACAUGCAAUUUUCUUCAUAUCUCACAAAAUAUAAUCUCAAAUGCCACGAAAUUUGUAUACAUAGCUUUUUAACACAAAAAUUUAUAUUCUCCAAAAAGUUUGAGCCAAAAAUUCAUCCGAAUAUUCAAGUUAUGGCUCCAACCAUUACUACAAAUAAAUCUGCUUACUUACUGCCUUUGAUUUGGAAGUGCCGCCUUCAAUUCCUUAUAACUCCUUUAUAUGAACUCCAAAAGCAAUAAUUCUUUCAUAAAAGAUGUAGGCCUUGAAAUCGUCGUUCCAGUUGCACCUUCCGAUCUUCAAAAGCUACUGUAAAAUUCCUCGUACCCUCAAAAGAAUAACAAUAUAUCUUAAAUAAACUUCUUAACUUCAAACAGCUACAACUUCUUCACUCUAACUCCAAAUCUUCUAAUUUUUGCACACAAAUUGUACCCCAAACUCUAAACUUUACAACUCUAGCUUGUAAUCUCCAAAUGCCCUCUUUG